GCGCCGGUUUGGAGAUUUUUACUUGUCUUUUCAUUUGGGCUAUUUAGGGCACUGAGGCACUGAGUUUUAUUUCAGUGAUUGGCUUGCUUUCAUCUUCUUGCCUCCAUUUUUGCAAUUUUUCUUAAGAUUCUCUUAUGGGUCGCUCGUGGAUCAACUUCCCGGAGUACCAAUGAUCAAGCGGACGGGCGUGAGGACUCUGGUCAUCGAUGCCCUAUGGGCUAUGGCUAUAUCGUAACAAGACCAUCCAUGAGAACAUAUCUGGAGAUGCUCCUCCCUCUAAUGCGGUGUCAGGUCGAUCAACAGUGAAGGCCUCUUGGAACACAGUCAGCUCAGUCGACCGAGCCCCUCCUUUGGUGGUAAAAAUCAGCAUGAGACGUUAAAGUUCCAAAAGUUACACUGCUAGUAAUGUAAUAAUGCUAUGUUACUUUAGUACUUACGUCCAACCAAAAAAACAUUCUUAUGGGGCAUGUACAGAAAUUGCCAAGCAACAAGACAUAAAAUGAUUGCUAAACAAGGAUGUUCUCAACCAUUGGAGGAGUUUCUUUGGAAUAGUGACUUUUACUUCCUCUAAGAAUUAUGAACUUACCAGGUCAGGGUUAUUCAGGUUGAAGGCAAUGAUGUCUGACAGUGAUCUCACCGUAGAGUUGAUGAGUUCUUCCAGGUAAUUAUUGAUGGAGAGCUUGAACUCUGCCAGCGUUGCAAUUAACUCGCCACUUUGAGAGGGAUUCAUAAUUGUAUCAAUAUCUGCUAUUUCCAGAUUAUCCAAAAUGGUUGCACCUCUUUGCCUUGAUAUGCCCAGAAAAGAAAACAACAGGAAGUAUGAGGACUUAUUAAGUAA